rnacentral:lncRNA from 1 species
UUCGGGUUGACGUUUUCUUUCUCUAUCGUAUGUCUGUUUUGUCGAUAGAGUUUUGAUAUGAAGUUAUGUUAAAUAGAGUUUGAUGUUUAAGAUACUUAGUUUCCUUUGAAAAUCAAGCAAUACACUCACGGUUAUAUGUCUUCAUACAUAUAAUCGAUUCGCCUUUUGCUGCGAUACUCUGCAUAUUAUUCCUCAUUAUGAAAAAUGAGCUAUACCCGUUUUGUUUUUGUUCGUGAG